UACGUAGGGGGCAAGCGUUGUCCGGAUUUAUUGGGCGUAAAGAGCGUGUAGGCGGCUAGGUAGGUCCGUUGUGAAAACUCGAGGCUCAACCUCGAGACGCCGAUGGAAACCAUCUGGCUAGAGUCCGGAAGAGGAGAGUGGAAUUCCUGGUGUAGCGGUGAAAUGCGCAGAUAUCAGGAAGAACACCCGUGGCGAAGGCGGCUCUCUAGUACGGUACUGACGCUGAGACGCGAAAGCGAGGGGAGCGAACAGG
rnacentral:rRNA from 1 species